rnacentral:tRNA from 1 species
GCUGAUAGGGCUGCUAAGCAGGCUAUUUUGAUAUAAUAGUGCGUGGAGAAAAAUCUUUCGUCAGUA